AGGUCAAGCUACAAAGGGCGCAUGGUGAAUGCCUUGGCACUAGGAGCCGAAGAAGGACGCGAUA
rnacentral:rRNA from 1 species